rnacentral:rRNA from 1 species
AGUGAACGCUGGCGGUAGGCCUAACACAUGCAAGUCGAACGGCAGCACAGUAAGAGCUUGCUCUUACGGGUGGCGGGUGGCGGACGGGUGAGGAAUACAUCGGAAUCUACUUUUUCGUGGGGGAUAACGUAGGGAAACUUACGCUAAUACCGCAUACGACCUACGGGUGAAAGCAGGGGAUCUUCGGACCUUGCGCGAUUGAAUGAGUCGAUGUCGGAUUAGCUAGUUGGCGGGGUAAAGGCCCACCAAGGCGACGAUCCGUAGCUGGUCUGAGAGGAUGAUCAGCCACACUGGAACUGAGACACGGUCCAGACUCCUACGGGAGGCAGCAGUGGGGAAUAUUGGACAAUGGGCGCAAGCCUGAUCCAGCCAUACCGCGUGGGUGAAGAAGGCCUUCGGGUUGUAAAGCCCUUUUGUUGGGAAAGAAAAGCAGCAGGUUAAUACCCCGCUGUUCUGACGGUACCCAAAGAAUAAGCACCGGCUAACUUCGUG